UGAUGAUGAUGAGGGAAGCUCAUCAACAUCAAUUUGAACCUGUCUCGUGCUUCGUACAAGUUUUCACCAACCCUUCUAUCUGAAGCUUAAAAUGUCACUCCUCAACUU